AUUGAACGCUGGCGGCAUGCCUUACACAUGCAAGUCGAACGGCAGCACGGGAGCUUGCUCCUGGUGGCGAGUGGCGAACGGGUGAGUAAAGCAUCGGAACGUGCCCUGAAGUGGGGGAUAACGUAGCGAAAGUUACGCUAAUACCGCAUAUUCUGUGAGCAGGAAAGCAGGGGAUCUUCGGACCUUGUGCUUUAGGAGCGGCCGAUGUCGGAUUAGCUAGUUGGUGAGGUAAAGGCUCACCAAGGCGACGAUCCGUAGCGGGUCGGAGAGGAUGAUCCGCCACACUGGGACUGAGACACGGCCCAGACUCCUACGGGAGGCAGCAGUGGGGAAUUUUGGACAAUGGGCGCAAGCCUGAUCCAGCCAUGCCGCGUGAGCGAAGAAGGCCUUCGGGUUGUAAACUGCUUUUGUACAGAACGAAAAGGUUUCUACUAAUACUAGGAGCUCAUGACGGUACUGUAAGAAUAAGCACCGGCUAACUACGUGCCAGCCGCCGCCGUAACAC
rnacentral:rRNA from 1 species